ACACAUGCAAGUCGAGCGGUAGCACAGGAGAGCUUGCUCUCUGGGUAACGAGCGGCGGACGGGUGAGUAAUGUCUGGGAAACUGCCUGAUGGAGGGGGAUAACUACUGGAAACGGUAGCUAAUACCGCAUAACGUCUUCGGACCAAAGUGGGGGACCUUCGGGCCUCACGCCAUCAGAUGUGCCCAGAUGGGAUUAGCUAGUAGUGGGGUAAUGGCUCACCUAGGCGACGAUCCCUAGCUGGUCUGAGAGGAUGACCAGCCACACUGGAACUGAGACACGGUCCAGACUCCUACGGGAGGCAGCAGUGGGGAAUAUUGCACAAUGGGCGCAAGCCUGAUGCAGCCAUGCCGCGUGUGUGAAGAAGGCCUUCGGGUUGUAAAGCACUUUCAGCGAGGAGGAAGGGUAGUGUGUUAAUAGCACAUUGCAUUGACGUUACUCGCAGAAGAAGCACCGGCUAACUCCGUGCCAGCAGCCGCGGUAAUACGGAGGGUGCAAGCGUUAAUCGGAAUUACUGGGCGUAAAGCGCACGCAGGCGGUUUGUUAAGUCAGAUGUGAAAUCCCCGCGCUUAACGUGGGAACUGCAUUUGAAACUGGCAAGCUAGAGUCUUGUAGAGGGGGGUAGAAUUCCAGGUGUAGCGGUGAAAUGCGUAGAGAUCUGGAGGAAUACCGGUGGCGAAGGCGGCCCCCUGGACAAAGACUGACGCUCAGGUGCGAAAGCGUGGGGAGCAAACAGGAUUAGAUACCUGGUAGUCCACGCUGUAAACGAUGUCGACUUGGAGGUUGUGCCCUUGAGGCGUGGCUUCCGGAGCUAACGCGUAAGUCGACCGCCUGGGAUACGCCGACAA
rnacentral:rRNA from 1 species